rnacentral:rRNA from 1 species
UACGGAGGGAGCUAGCGUUAUUCGGAAUUACUGGGCGUAAAGCGCACGUAGGCGGCUUUUAAGUCAGGGGUGAAAUCCUGGAGCUCAACUCCAGAACUGCCUUUGAUACUGGGAAGCUUGAGUCCGGGAGAGGUGAGUGGAAUUCCGAGUGUAGAGGUGAAAUUCGUAGAUAUUCGGAAGAACACCAGUGGCGAAGGCGGCUCACUGGACUGGUAUUGACGCUGAGGUGGCGAAAGCGUGGGAGCCAAACAGGG